UGGGGAAUCUUCCGCAAAUGGGGCGCAAGCCUGACGGAGCAACGCCGCGUGGGUGAAGAAGGGUUUCGACUCGUAAAGCUCUGUUGUCGGGGACGAAUGUCAGGACUCAGAAUAUGGGUUCUGAAUGACGGUACCUGACGAGGAAGCCACGGCUAACUACGUGCCAGCAGCCGCGGUAAUACGUAGGUGGCAAGCGUUGUCCGGAAUUAUUGGGCGUAAAGAGCAUGUAGGCGGGCUUUUAAGUCCGACGUGAAAAUGCGGGGCUUAACCCCGUAUGGCGUUGGAUACUGGAAGUCUUGAGUGCAGGAGAGGAAAGGGGAAUUCCCAGUGUAGCGGUGAAAUGCGUAGAUAUUGGGAGGAACACCAG
rnacentral:rRNA from 1 species